CGCAGCCAAAGAAUGGCAAGGGGAGAGAAAGAGGAAAUGGUGCCUGCUCCAAUGAGGAUUGAGGAUGGCCUUGAAUUAUCCAAUGGAAAUGGCUGCUCCUGUGGGGUAUUAGGAAAGGGUGACGGGCGUUGGCGCCAUUUUAGCUCGGGUGUAUUCCACCCCCUUCCUUCCUCCAUUUAACGAAGGGGUUAUGCAACCAGAACUGACGUUGUUCGUUUUCCACCCCUUGAGACUUGUUGGAGAAAGUCUCACUUCCGGUCAUGAUGUAAGAGGCGCCUCUGAGGUGACUUCCUCCAUGUGUCAAGACCCCCCUUCCCGUUGAUACCAAAAUCCGUGGAUUAUAUAUAGCGGUGUAGUGAAAUUGAGUCCCAUAUAUAGAAUGGGACUCUUAACUGGCUGGGAUUUCUGGGAGUUGUAGGCCAGAAACAUCUGGGGACCUCAGGUUGAGAACCACUGCCUUAAAGCAAUGUACAGUUAAAGUAUUUUAAAAUUGAAUUGAAAACACAUUAAAACAUUUUAAAAAAAUUACAUUCCCUUUUAAAACCACGUUAUCCGCCGUCAUAAUCUGGGCCAUUCUAAUUGUCAUUGCACGUAAUUACAUAUCCAUCUAAUGCACUACAAUUGUUCCCUGAAGGUUUGAUCCCAGAGCCACAUUUUCACUCUCUUUCAGAAGGUCAGGAGGGAAGGGGGGAAUUCUACAACUGAGGAGCCACCACUGAGAAGCAGAGAGUGUCUGAAAAUUGGGACAUUCAUAGGGAUACCAAGAUGUUUGUUUAUAAAGCUAUUGUCCUCCCAACCCUUGUUAUAUGCCUAAAAAUGUGGACCAUCUACAAACGUCACUCUCAACUUCUGGAAUGAUUCUGUCAGCAUUGCCUCUGAAAAAUCCUGCAAAUUUCUUGAGAAGACAGAUGGACAAAUGUCAGCGAUCAAGAAGCAAAGACCACCAGCAUUGAAGCAAUGAUCUUCUUUCAUCAACUUCACUGGACUGGCCACGUUGUCCAAAUGCUCAAUCACAGUCUCCCAAAGCAGUUACUAUACUCCCAACUGAAGAACGGAAAAUGGAAUGUUGGUGGACAGAAAAAGAGAUUGAAAGAUGGGCUUAAGACCAGCUUUAAAAAUUGUGACAUAGACACAGAGAACUGGGAAGCCCUGGCCCUUGAGCACUAUAACUGGAGGUCAGCUGUUGCCAAUAGUCCUACGAAAUUCCAAGAGGCACAAAUGGAGGACGAAAGAAAUAAGACAGCAGAGAAUCAAGAUAUACUACCUAAAGCAAACAGAGGGAACUCCAGGAUUACCUGAAAAAGGUCUACCUGAAGAAGGUCGCCGAAACUGGAUGCAUACCCGGGAGACCAGUCGUUGCUAUUGACAUGGAACUUUGAUUUACUUUGAAUGAGUUACUAUUGACAUGGAACUUUGAUUUACUUUGAAUGAUCGAUUUUGAAGAAGAAUAUUACAAACCUUGAGAAUAUUAUCAAGAUUAUAUUUGUUAAAACUGGACAUUGAAAUAUGUACUUAUCUGUACAGUUGGAAUAUAUAAACUGAUACUACAAUCAUAAUAUAUAAGUGAUUAUAUCACUUGAGGAAAUAUAGAACUAUAACUUACUUUAUAAUAUAUUAUAUGCCAUACUUUUCCUUUUUUUCCGUUUUGCUGUAUAUAAUAGACAUCUGUGCAUAUAGCUGUAGCUAGCUCUUCAAAAUUGAUAGCACUGUUGGAAACAACUGACUUCCAGUUACAACACUGGAGGGCCAGGGCUUCCCAGUUCUCAGUGUUUAUGCCACAUAUUUGAAGGUAAGUUUUAAGCCCAUCUUUAAAACUCCUUUGUUGUCCACUGACAUUCCAUUUUCUGUUCUUGAGUUAGAAUCAUAGAAUUGGAAGAGACCUCGUGGGCCAUCCAUUCCAGCCCCCUGCCAAGAAACAGGAAAAUUGAGAAUAAAGUGACUGCUUAGGGAGGCAGUGAUCAUGCAUUUGGAUAAUGUGGCUGAUCCAGCAAAGUUGAUGAUGGAGGCUUAUCGCUUCACUGCUGCUGGGCUUUGCUUCUUCUGAUGUUUGUCCGCCUGUCUUCUCAAGAGAUUUGCAGGAUUUUUCAAAGGCAAUGAAUGCUCAAGGAAUCAUUCCAGAAGUUGAGAGUGAUGUUUGAAGAAGUCCAUGGUUUGCAGAUGUAAGACAGAAUUGAAAGGACUCUUUGUUAUUUUUAUGAAUGUCUCAAUCCUUGAACACUCUCUGCUUUAUUUAAAAAAAUACUGCACUUGCAGAGCUCAGAUAGUGUUGUAGCGACUCAGGUUGCUCCUGACACACACACACACACACACAAAAUCUGCUUUUGUAGAGAGGUGGCUGCCUGCAUAGUGGAA
rnacentral:lncRNA from 11 species